rnacentral:rRNA from 1 species
GACGUAGGGCGCGAGCGUUGUCCGGAUUUAUUGGGCGUAAAGAGCUCGUAGGCGGCUUGUCGCGUCGUCCGUGAAAACCCACAGCUCAACUGUGGGCUUGCGGUCGAUACGGGCAGGCUAGAGUUCGGUAGGGGAGACUGGAAUUCCUGGUGUAGCGGUGAAAUGCGCAGAUAUCAGGAGGAACACCGGUGGCGAAGGCGGGUCUCUGGGCCGAUACUGACGCUGAGGAGCGAAAGCGUGGGGAGCAAACAGG